CACGUAGGGUGCGAGCGUUGUCCGGAAUUAUUGGGCGUAAAGAGCUCGUAGGCGGUGUGUCGCGUCGGCCGUGAAAACCUGCAGCUUAACUGUGGGCGUGCGGUCGAUACGGGCAUCACUGGAGUUCGGCAGGGGAGACUGGAAUUCCUGGUGUAGCGGUGAAAUGCGCAGAUAUCAGGAGGAACACCGGUGGCGAAGGCGGAUCUCUGGGCCUUACCUGACGCUCAGGCGCGAAAGCUAGGGGAGCGAACAGG
rnacentral:rRNA from 1 species